rnacentral:rRNA from 1 species
AGAGAGAGACAUGCGCGCAUAUCAAUAAGCGGAGGAAAAGAAACUAACUAGGAUUCCCUUAGUAACGGCGAGUGAAGCGGGAAGAGCUCAAAUUUGAAAUCUUCAAGGUUUACCUUGACGAAUUGUAGUUUAAAGAAGUGUUUUCUGCUGGAGUUUUGGUAAAAGUUCUUUGGAAUAGGACAUCAUAGAGGGUGAGAAUCCCGUAUUUGACCAUUAUUUUCAGCUUUGUGAUACACUUUCAAAGAGUCGGAUUGUUUGGGAAUGCAGUCCAAAAUGGGUGGUAAAUUUCAUCUAAAGCUAAAUAUUGGCGAGAGACCGAUAGCGAACAAGUACCGUGAGGGAAAGAUGAAAAGAACUUUGAAAAGAGAGUUAAACAGUACGUGAAAUUGUCAAAAGGGAAGCGUUUGACACCAGUGUCGUUUUCUCGAAAAUCAAUUAAAAAUGGCUCGAUUUUGUAUUGCUGAGACCUUAAAAGCUCACUGUACAUUUUUCGUGUCUUUUUUAAUGCACUUUUCGUUUAACAAGUCAACAUCAGUUUCUUUUGUUGUAAAAGGGUCAUUGGAAGGUGGCUUUCUUUUCGGAGAAAGUGUUUAUAGCCUUUGGCCUCUGCAAUCGAAGAGACUGAGGUCUGCAGCGUAGACUCUUCGGGGUUAGAUACAUUUGUGCUAAGUUAUAGCUUUUUAUAGACAACUUGUUGACUAUAAUUAGUCUUGUAGCUUACUCGCUUAUGCUAUUUUACCUACGCUUAGGAUGUUGAGUCGUAGAGCACGCAG